rnacentral:rRNA from 1 species
GACGUAGGGGGCCAGCGUUGUUCGGAAUUACUGGGCGUAAAGCGCGUGUAGGCGGCUUGGCAAGUCGGGUGUGAAAGCCCCGGGCUCAACCUGGGAAGUGCACUCGAAACUGCUUGGCUUGAGUACUGGAGAGGGAAGCGGAAUUCUCGGUGUAGAGGUGAAAUUCGUAGAUAUCGAGAGGAACACCGGUGGCGAAGGCGGCUUCCUGGACAGUUACUGACGCUGAGACGCGAAAGCGUGGGGAGCAAACAGG